AUCUUGGAGUGAGAUAUAAACUUAAGGCUUUUUCUGGAUGUUUUGAGCAUCUUCAAACAACCAGCACCCAAGCUGUGCACACAGGGAAACCCAUCCCAGAUUUCCUGAGAUGUGAAAUAGGAUCUUGAUUCUGGAGCUUCUAGAAAUAGACAGCAUGUUAGCCAAGGAAAUAUUCUGCAUAAAAUUCACUCUCAAGUUACAUCAGGAACAAGACAGACAAAAUCAAACUUCUUCCCAAGGUAAAUUACAGAUAUUAGCUAAAAGCUAGCUACAGGCUCAUAAUUGAAGCUAAUAUGCUAAUUGUAACAAAGCCUGGACUCCAGCCAGGAUAUAAAGUUAUGUUGCAACAUGAGUAGAUGAUCUCCCGGCAUUAAUGGGUACAGAGUGAUCUAUUUCCUUAGAGCCCCUGUUGAUAUCUUAUCUGUGUCACCAUGAGAUGCUGCUCUCUCACUCAGGGGUGCUAAAAUGUGCUCUUGUAAUGACAGCUUGUUAUGGGUGGGAGCUGCUCAAUGAGUUGCAGCAGGAAAUUACCUCUCCAUCUGCAGACUGCUUUUAGAACCAUUUCUUUGUUUUCCUUGAAAGGUAGCAAUGGGCCACUUUGAUUUGGUGAGCCGGUACAGACCAUGAGCCAGUGAUAUGCAGGAAUAUGACCAUGAAGGUGUCCCAAAGCCUGCAUAAGGUGCCUCUGUGGAUGGAUUUAACUUUGGCAGUGAUACAAAUAACACAUUCUCUACUGGAGAGUGUGUUCACAGAGAAGGAGAGUGGAUGACAAGAUCUGUAAGGAGAAGAGAGCAGCUCUGAGGCAGUUUGUUAGCAGGCAAUUUACAUUCUCAGAAUCUGUUCCAGUGCCAGCCAAAGUCAAUGACAGCCUUCACUGUCUUCAAGGGUUUUUAGAUGAGGCUCCAAUUCUUGAAUGUGAUGACAUAAAGGUAAAAUAUUAAUGCUUUAUUUUUAUUUUUUGU
rnacentral:lncRNA from 1 species